UAUUUUAUGUAUUUGAAAAUCUCUUUAAUGCCUGGUUUAGUAAAAGACAACUGGAUUAUCAUUUAUGCUUUGGCAUUAAGUUGGUUGUGAUUUUGUUUUGGUUGAUAUACAGGAAGACAAUCCGACCUCACAAAGAUGUGUUGUUGGAAAAGGGAACCAACAUUGCAAAAGACUUUUUGGAGCUCUACGGAAAUUUGUCUGUGCUACUAGACAACUACUCAGCAGUCAUAUUUCUGAUGGAAGCAUCUGCAUCAGGAGCCAAGGAUGGAGAGACAAAGAUCCACCAUGCUCAAUGGGAACUUCUUAAAACCUGCACAAAUGGGAGAGAAAAGCUGCCAAUAUCUGGGAGUUACAAGUUACCCUUUUGCCACAUGUGCUAUUCAAGGUUCCUGCUAUCAUGACUGAAGUUGUUCCAGACUGCUUUCACUUCAAGCCAGCAACAACAAUUCAGACUGGUUUAAUCACUUAAUGUUGGAAAAUGUCCUCAAAUAUCCCUUCCCCCCCCCCCCCCCACUCCCAGCCUUGAACAGAAAAAUGCUGCCACUUCCUCCAACCUUCCAAGUUCACUCUCACUUCUGUUGGGGGCUGCGGGGGGUUCAGUGAAGAAGGAGAGAGGAAGGGCCUCUCCAGAUUGACGUUCCUCUUUGGAUCCCAGUUGAGGACUGUCAUUUAGAUGAUCAGACUCCUCCCCACCAAUCAAAUUAAUUCAAAUAAAUACUUUGUAUCCCUGUGCUUGGUUUUUGUU
rnacentral:lncRNA from 1 species